GGGGUAAUCCUGGCUACCUGGAGCCUGAGGCUGGCAGCAAUCUUGGGCUCAGGAAUUCUGAGCUGCAGUGGGCUAAGCUAUUCAGGUGUCCACACUAAGUUUGGUAUUAAUGUUGUAAGUCCCCUGGUUGGGGGUAGGGGUCAGGGAAGGGUGGCAACUAGGUUACCUAAAGAGGAGUGAACUAACCCAGAUCAAAAAUGGAGCAGGUUCAAAGUUUCUGUGUUGAUCAAUAAAGGGAUUAGCUCCAUGGGUAGCCCCUACACUUCCAGUCUGAGUGAAAGAGAGAAAGAUCCUAUCUUUU
rnacentral:SRP_RNA from 1 species